rnacentral:rRNA from 1 species
UACGUAGGGUGCAAGCGUUGUCCGGAAUUAUUGGGCGUAAAGAGCUCGUAGGCGGUUCUGUCGCGUCGGCUGUGAAAACCCGGGGCUCACCCGGACCUCGGCAGUCGAUACGGGCAGGACUAGAGUGCGGUAGGGGAGAUUGGAAUUCCUGGUGUAGCGGUGGAAUGCGCAGAUAUCAGGAGGAACACCAAUGGCGAAGGCAGAUCUCUGGGCCGUAACUGACGCUGAGGAGCGAAAGCAUGGGGAGCGAACAGG